UACGGGGGGGGCAAGCGUUGUUCGGAAUUACUGGGCGUAAAGGGCUCGUAGGCGGCCAACUAAGUCAGACGUGAAAUCCCUCGGCUUAACCGGGGAACUGCAUCUGAUACUGGAUGGCUUGAGUUCGGGAGAGGGAUGUGGAAUUCCAGGUGUAGCGGUGAAAUGCGUAGAUAUCUGGAGGAACACCGGUGGCGAAGGCGGCAUCCUGGACCGACACUGACGCUGAGGCGCGAAAGCCAGGGGAGCAAACGGG
rnacentral:rRNA from 1 species